rnacentral:lncRNA from 1 species
UUAUUUUAGUUUGAACUUUUUGGUUAUCAUUUUUCAAAAAUGGGAAAAUCCACGGGAUUUUUUUAGUACAACGAUAACAUUUUCUUUGAACUCUCAUGUCCCUGAUUACUUCGUCGAUUUUUCUUGUGUUAGCUACGUUACAUCUUCUCGCUGCGAUUGUCUGACAAUGCAUGGUUUGUGCUCAGCGCAAUGUGAUGCCACAAACCAACCAUGGUCGUCGGACUUGUGAAGCUAGAUCACUACCUUUGAAACCAAACCUCGCGGAGUCAUUCUAGCACCUCCAGUCAACACCCUGAAGAGCAAAAAUGAUAUGGUGUCAUGCGUGUGUGCAAACCAAUGGAGAAUUCGGAACAACAAAAGGAAAAUUCAUGUCGAUCCAUACCUCCAUUGCUCCAUCUGGCACCCUAGAUCCUGAGAUGACCAAUACUAGUCGUCGUUCAUGUAGAUGGUCAUGUACCAAAUAUGCCGAAAAGCAAUCCCCAUGAGUACAGGUUAUAGAACUCGUAUGCCUCCUCCAGUGAGCCAAAUCGGGUAGAUAUGGUCGUCUGAAAAAGUAUGUAUUUGUUGAUCUGCUACAAUGGGAACACAUGAAUGGACAAAGCAAAAAUUCAGAAAAAUGAUCAACAAUGGGAAGAACACAAACAUCGGCUACAGCCUCCCCCUCUCCGUUGCAGGUAGCAGCAACUUGGAGAAGAUACAAACAUGAAGGUCGAGCUUUGGCCUCGGACAGGUCGCUGAUUAGGCCUCAGCAGUUCGUCGACGGCGCGAGAUGAGUGGCCAUGGCGGUGGGAUCCGGCAGUUGCAGCCCGAGCUUUCUCGGGCGACCUGCUAUUGCACGGGUUGUUCUCCGACUGUGGCAUUGCGCGGGGACGUGGGCCUUCCAGCGAAGCACAUGAAGAAGCAGGGGAAGCCGCCAUCGAGCUUUCUUGCAGGGGCUGCAAUGGCUUGACCGAUCCACCAGCUUGCUAGGUCGCGGGAACCGACAGUGAGGCAGCAUCCAACACGUGCUCCGGCUUAUCUGGCCGGGGUAUGUUGUUGCCGGCGCGACAGGGUGGGAGAACAACAUCAGCAGGGAGGAGGUAGGAGAUCCAUCUCGCGGCAGAG